GACUGGUUACUCGUCGGUUAAUUAACAGUUACUUUACAUAUGUUACCCAACGGUUAUUCAACCAAACCUCGUCUGAUCAAAUCCUUUGUCUUCAUCAAUUAUGUGUUUACAUUGUCAUCUAAAUUGCUUUCGAUUGUUUUAAUGUUACUGUUGAUUUCUGGAAGUGACAAUCAAGUAAAUCAGUUUCUUUUCGUCUGCUAGUUUUGGCUUGUGAUACAAAGUCAUGUUACAAAGAGAUAGGAAAAUUGAUGAAUCGCUCAAUCCUAUUUUAAUUGUAUUAUCAAUUUUGUUUACCUCAAAUCACCAAUUCUGUCAUGGUGAUUCCGUCAAUUAAUUGGACCUUUUAUGUACCUUUUCCCUUUGUGAGAAGGUCAUAACCUUAACCAGCCCACCAUGUUGAUGCCAAUUUAACCAGUUUGAAUCCUCUUUGUGAUAUAAGUGCAAAAAUAACACCAACACUUGAUCAGUAAUUAAAAAAUGGAAUGAAAAAUCAAUAAUCAUCAUCAUUCGGUAUCACAAAAGCAACAUCGCAUGCAUGAAGACAGUUCAAUUUGGUUAUAUCGGAUGGAAUGGAGUUGUUCAAGGAUAUUAAUUCAAUUCGACUCGUCACUUUCCUGGUUGUGUUUCGUCGUAUUAUGAUAUAAUUGAGAUUCAGUUACUUGUUUUAUUAAUCAUUAUUAAUUUUAUCAUUAUCACCAUCAUCACUUCCGUUAGUCAGUAUCCAAAUGCAUUAAUACUGAAUCAAGAACUUAUCAUCACAAUCAAGAUGGGAAAAGCAAAAUUCAAAG